rnacentral:rRNA from 1 species
GAACGACUCUCGGCAACGGAUAUCUCGGCUCUCGCAUCGAUGAAGAACGUAGCGAAAUGCGAUACUUGGUGUGAAUUGCAGAAUCCCGUGAACCAUCGAGUUUUUGAACGCAAGUUGCGCCCUARGCCAUCCGGCYGAGGGCACGCCUGCCUGGGCGUCAC